rnacentral:rRNA from 1 species
CGGCUUCGGCUGUCACUUUAGGAUGGACCCGCGGCGUAUUAGCUUGUUGGUAAGGUAACGGCUUACCAAGGCGAUGAUACGUAGCCGACCUGAGAGGGUAAUCGGCCACAUUGGGACUGAGACACGGCCCAAACUCCUACGGGAGGCAGCAGUAGGGAAUCUUCCACAAUGGACGAAAGUCUGAUGGAGCAACGCCGCGUGAGUGAUGAAGGGUUUCGGCUCGUAAAACUCUGUUGUUGGAGAAGAACAGGUGUCAGAGUAACUGUUGACAUCUUGACGGUAUCCAACCAGAAAGCCACGGCUAACUACGUGCCAGCAGCCGCGGUAAUACGUAGGUGGCAAGCGUUGUCCGGAUUUAUUGGGCGUAAAGCGAGCGCAGGCGGUUUUUUAGGUCUGAUGUGAAAGCCUUCGGCUUAACCGGAGAAGUGCAUCGGAAACCGGGAGACUUGAGUGCAGAAGAGGACAGUGGAACUCCAUGUGUAGCGGUGAAAUGCGUAGAUAUAUGGAAGAACACCAGUGGCGAAGGCGGCUGUCUGGUCUGUAACUGACGCUGAGGCUCGAAAGCAUGGGUAGCGAACAGGAUUAGAUACCCUGGUAGUCCAUGCCGUAAACGAUGAGUGCUAAGUGUUGGAGGGUUUCCGCCCUUCAGUGCUGCAGCUAACGCAUUAAGCACUCCGCCUGGGGAGUACGACCGCAAGGUUGAAACUCAAAGGAAUUGACGGGGGCCCGCACAAGCGGUGGAGCAUGUGGUUUAAUUCGAUGCUACGCGAAGAACCUUACCAGGUCUUGACAUCUUCUGCCAACUUAAGAGAUUAGGCGUUCCCUUCGGGGACAGAAUGACAGGUGGUGCAUGGUUGUCGUCAGCUCGUGUCGUGAGAUGUUGGGUUAAGUCCCGCAACGAGCGCAACCCUUAUUGUUAGUUGCCAGCAUUCAGUUGGGCACUCUAGCAAGACUGCCGGUGACAAACCGGAGGAAGGUGGGGAUGACGUCAAAUCAUCAUGCCCCUUAUGACCUGGGCUACACACGUGCUAC